AUUGGCUCUCGCUGCUGUCAAAGUCAGUUAGCCAAUCAGGAGAGGGAGGGGACACACUAAAUGGACACAUUGAGCUGCUGCUCGGCUUGGAUGCCCCCAUAGCAAGCUACUGAUUGAAGUCCAUCCGAGUUGCGAAAGUUCAGCCGGACGAGGAACCAGUUGUGGUCGGGGGUAAAGGGGAAGCAGUCGCCACUUGGGGGCUAUCCACCUUGUUACCGAAGACUACUGUGAGUAAGCUCAAGCAAGUACCACAGCUGACUUCUCACCAACCGUAGAUGGUAAAGAAGUGGGAGAGCUUCAGCGAAUGCCAAGCCAGGGACUCUGAAGGAUGGAGGGGGUGACAAUUGUGGACUAUACAGCGGGUUAGCUGUGGAAGAGCUCAGGAGAUCCGGUGAUGACUGUGAUCUGGAAGUCUAGUGAGAUACUGGGAGCUCAGUGAGUGAAGACCUACAGUGGGAUACUGGGAGAUAAGAGAAGAACAGUUUUGUAUUACCAAGAGUUAUGUAUGACUACCUUUUAGUGACUGUUACAAGUUCAGUUGCCAUAGGAUACAGCGGUCCUACCUAUUCAGAUAUGGCAUCCGGCUGGAGGCCUUUCCCUGUAUAGCUGUCUACCUACUGUAUAGUGUCUCAGAGUCUGCCAAUUACAAUUGCAUCUACCUAAGGGUGUUCUGGUCCUAAUCCUCUCUCCCAAAGUUCUUGUUAAGAGACAAUACAUCUCUUGUUCGCAUUCAAAAAGUGACCGGCGCCCAUCAUUUCAUCUUGCAAUAUUAUAAAUGGUUAGUGCAGCGCAUACAAUUCAAAUGAUGCAUUAAAGGUAUAGGUGAAAAAAAACAGCAAAAAAAAAAUGAGCCAAAAAGUCAAUCAAAAUCAAAAUUAAACGUGAAUAAUAGUCCAAAGAAUUAUGUGACAAACAAAUUCCAGAAUCCGCUACAAGAUUCACCAGUGACGUAGAUUCCAAACAAUAAGUGAUCCCUCCACCACUAGGAUUGGCCACUCUCACCUUAAGGCAUGGACCUUACCAGGUAGUCAUGCAAGCAGAUAACAUAAAUACAGAUACACCUGAUGGCAAAUUGUCUUAUCAGGUCCCUCAGUAGUCUGCAGCUGGAUAAUAUACCAUGUAUGGAAGAAAAAUAGAUCUAAGUGCUCUCCAUUUCAAAAAUGCUAACAUUUAUUGGAUAAGCAUAAAACUACUCACAAAGAUCCGAACGAUCAGUAGCAUAAAACAAACAAACGGCAGGUUUGUUUCACAAAAGGACGGCAGCGAGCGACGUCUGUCCUCCCCUGUACGCAUUACCUUUCCACGAACUUCCUCAGUGGGGUGGAGCCAAAACAUUGUCUGCCUACCAACAACAAAACAAACGUGUCCACAUAAACCAAGGCGUCACAUGCAAAUGUGGGGGAAAACGUUGUUACUAUAUUGUCGGUAAACUGCAGGACGAUUGACUUUUAGAACUUAUAAAUUAACUUCUUAUAAAUUAUCGAUCACUGCACAAAGUACAAAGUGAUCACAACAGCCACAUUACUGAGCUAAUUAUAAUACAAUACAAUCAGGCUAUCGCCAUCAUGUGGUCAAGAAUGAUAUUAACACCUAUUCUUCUAAAAUAAAUAGAUUAUAUAAAAUUGAAUAACAGUCGCUCGAUACCGUUCUUAAGAAACAUUAAAAAAAUUAUACAAUCUAAAAAUAUUACAUAUGAAAAUAUAUAUAAAAAUUAUAUAAUUAAUAAGUACAACCCCUUAAUAUACAAAAAUCUAAAAACAUUUAUUUAUCAGAAAUAAAACAAUUCAGAUCAAAAACAUUGAGUCCUUCAGGGGUGAGAACCUUGGCCUCCACAAUUCAAUAGGAUUCUCUUUGGCUAAUAUGUCGAAUAUAAUUCCCCCCCCUCCAAUGUUGAUCGACCCUUUCUAUCCCCAGAAUUUCAAACAUCUGGGGUCUCUGUUAUGACAUUGCCUGAAGUGCCUGGAAACACUAUGGGUACGAAGACCUCUCUUGAUAUUAUUAACAUGUUCACCAACCCGAACCCCCAAAGCCUGUGAUGUGCGGCCUAUAAACUGGAGUUCGCAGUCGCACUACUUGCAUUACACCCACCAUGUGCUGCCGCUGCCCCCCCAGAGUCCCCUUUUUCUUACCUGAGCACAAUCGUUCCAGUGCUGAGCAUUAACCCAGCGGCUCCUGCAGCUGUCUCCGUCCUCAUUGGAUAGAUUGAUAGCAGCAGGAGCCAUUGGCUUUUGCUGCUGUCAAACAAAUCCAGUGACAUGGGAGCCAGGGGCGGAGCAGAGUCCUGCUGUCUGUGUCAGUAGACGCAGCAGUAGGACUCGGGAGCUCGCCUGCACGGUUGCCGCUCAUGUAAAUCUGCUCUCCGUGGAGGCACUCGCUGAAGAGCAGGAGCGCCACCGGGAGACCCCAGAAAAGAAGGAUCGGGGCCAUUCUGUGCAAAACCCUUGAAGUAUGUUAUUUAAAAAAAAAAUCUAAAUUACUUUAAUAUCUACAGUCUAGAGCAUGGGUGUCAACCUCAAUUUAUCGUAGGCCGCAUCAGCAUUAUGGUUGCCCUUAAAAGGGCCGGUUGUACCUGUAAGAUUAUAUACAUUUACCCAAGGCUUUUUGUCUGAGAGAAUAGGUGCAGGGACUCAACCAAGUUCUCCUCUGAUGAACCACUUUGAGCAGUGGAUGUGGUCAAAUUGCAGUGGGAGGAUCUUAAAGGGGCAAUAAAUACCAGGAGAGCAUUAUGUAUGGAUUUCAUGGGUGCACUAUGUACAGAGUGUAGAGUUCAGGUGGGAUCCGAGUACUGAGUGCAGUUUUGGGGUUUCAUAUGCACAAAGUGCAAAGUUCAGGGGUUCACUGUUUACAGUAGGGUUGAGGAGUAUGCUACAUAUAGAGGGGUUUAGCUCUCUCGGGUGUCCACCUCCCACUUCCACCCCUCCUUGCCUCUGCACCAUUCUCCAUCCCCCACCUAUGCACACAUUUCCCUCCCUGCCCCCCAAAGUUUUCUUGCACCUCACCUACCCAUCCUGGCUCCAGUACCUCCUGGCAGUGUAGGCGGCUCAGCCCCUCUCUCUCACUUAUAGGAAGAUCCUUGGUUAGAAUCUGUGCAACCGGACACAGAUAAGAAUCACAGUGCAGCUUACCAUGUGAUGCCUAACCCCACAAUGCACCUGCCAUCUGAAUCUGUAGGGCAGGCAGGAAUCUGUGAAGGUCUCCACCACUAUCCAGCUAAAAAAAGCCCUGAGUGCAAGGGCCACAUGAAAUUACCUGAAGGGCCAGAUUCAGCCUUGUGUUUGACACACGUGGUCUAGAGGAAAGACGGGAAAGAGGAGAUAUUAAUGAAACCUUAAAAUAUAUCAUAAAAAUGUUACUUGUCAACUCAAUGCAUAUGAAUGCAAUGCACAUCAACACAUCUAAAAAUGAAAAUUAUUUGAACCCUCCAGUGACCUGUACAGCAGCUAUUUAGGGAGAAAAGCAUGUUGCAAUUUAUGAAAAUUUGCUUUUUGACCAGAAUUUUUUUGUAGUUUUAAAUUUUGAGUAGCUGGAUCACUAUAGACCAGUUUACCAGUCUUGUCGAGUAGAAAAUGACAUGUGACCAGCUUGACCGCACGUGUAAAGACAAAAGGAAGAAAUCCCCGACUUGGCAAGGAUAUUGCAUGAAAAAUCUACCUGGAUUUGAAAAAAUAUUCAAAAUCCCGGCACACCACCACUGGUGAGUACUUUAUUAUUUAUUUAGCAAUAGUUUGCAGUGUGACAGAUUUGACAAAUGUCAGCACAAGAACAUUUUACUGUCAUAAAUUUGUCAUAAAUUUGCACGUUAGUGUAAAGGCCAUAAAUUAUAUUUGGGGCUUUCAUUUUUCAGUGUGACCUUGGCAUGUAUAGAUCAGUGGCUGAACGCAUAUUGUGAUUUACAUGGAUUGGAAGACAUUCUUUAUAAUUUUUUUGUUUCAAUAAUAUUUGGGUUCCCUAUGGACUUUUUUACAAGUUGUAUGUUUUUUUGUUUCUUUUUUACUUUUUUGUGAAUGAGUAACAAAGUCUCCUCCCAAACCCUAACAGGCCAUACGCCUUCAGCAAGGGGCCAGAAAAUCCCCCUUUGCAAGGCACUAUGUACUCAUGUUGAGAGACAAUAUACAUUCAGCCUCAAUUAUGUUAUCCAGCUAUGCAGAUCCACAUCAAUCACAAUGAGCUGUGCAACCCAACGAUGGUCACCUGCCACUUCUACUGUUGUAAAUGACAGAUCACCAUCCGACUACUGAAUGACAUAGUGAUAACUGGCUGGGCCUCCCAACCUUGCAAGGUACUUGUCAACCAUGUUAAGGGACAAGGGCCUCUUUCCCACAUCCUGUUCUUCAAAAGUGAGGUGAAGAUUUGUGGUGCAUACUUAUAGAAUUCUGGUAAACAUCUUUUUAAUAAGGAGGCCCCCAGAUCUCUAUGCCCUUCCAGACGAAUAAGUACAUUCACAAAAAAACUGUGUUAUUCACGUCAACAACAAGUUUUCUUUGCCUGCCAAGCUGUACAUGCCACACUCCUGCUAUUAAUUUACAGAUUUACCACUACAAUAAUACCGUCGGGUUCCUUUAAUAUAUGAAGGUUCCUUUCAAAACAUUGACAGUAUUGUCUACAUCUAUCUGCAUAGAUAAUUCUAGGAUUCUCCAUUUUUAUUGGCAAGGAUUCAGAAGUUGCAUUCCAGCAACCAUAGUCUGUGAAUACAAAUAUUUUUCUCCCGACUCAGGCCUCUCUGAGCAUAGGGGCACAUUAGAAGCCCACCAAUACCAAAGGCCUUACCUCCCACAAAAUAAAAUUAACAUACUGGAUAUUUUCCCCAGGCUAUGGUUUAUCUUGUGGAGGAUUCAGCUGAUUUUUCUUCAAGCACUUGCCAAACAUUUAAUGGGCAAAGAUGCUUGAAUCACUGCCGCUACAAUACUAUCCCAAAUCAGUGUAGGUAAAUCUGUAGUCAACAUCAAUGACAGUCCAUAGGACCAACAGGAAUUUUUUUUUUGUAAAUAAAGUAAUUGCUGGCAUCACAAUCCAAAUGUGUUUUCUGCAAAUCAAUAUUCAGAAUUUUGGUGCCAGAGCAAUCUCCUGCAUAUUUCUCCAUAUAGACUUGCAUGUUGAUUGAAAAAUAUAGUGUAAUUUUUACUUGCCAAUGUGGAAUUCAGAAAACAUCAAAGAAUAAGAAUGUCCAGUAGCUAUAAACCUGUUAAAAAAAAUAUAUAACAAUUGUACUUCUUUUUUUGCACUCCAGGUAUUGAAAAUGAAGUGGUAAAGCAAUAGGCAGAGUUAAAUGGAUGAUGGUCCUCAGAAAGAAGAGUCAUAAUGAGGCUGGGGCCAGAAGAUGACAACUGCCAUUUUCACCUACAAAGCUUUUUGAAACUGUAUCUGGAGUUCCGAGAGAGACGUUCAGUGAUGAAGACAUUCCAGUGGAGAAUAAGGAAUAACCUGAGACUGAGUCUACUGUCAGUACGGUGGAACAUGUUGCUGGGAGUCCUUCAGUUUCUGAGAGCAAUGCCUCUACAACCUCAGUAGAUGUGUCUGUGGAGCCUAAGUUGAAGCCAGGUCCGUCUAUUGCAAAGUCAAGCUUUAGGCCAAGGGCAGAUAAAAGACAACAUGCUGUUACCCAUAACAGUGUCAGAAAGAAUCUCCUUUUAACGGCUCUGGACAAAAUUAUAAAAAAGAGGAAUACUGCUUCACAAUGGGCAUGCUCCUGACAUUCAGAAUGGUUCCUAAGCACAAAAUAUUUCCCCCACCAUGGAUAUGUUCAAUUUGAGUCAAUUGUGCUGUCCCGAUGCACUAAAAAACACUUCCCACAUAUGCCAAAUUGCACCACCACUGCCACCACAAGCAGCACCACAACCUGCAACUACCGACCUCAUCCAGUACCCUACCUGUCUUAUGAACCCAUGCCAUGAGAACAUGGCUCACAUGACUCACAGAUCACACCCUACUGCCCUACACCUCACAAUUUUUUAAACCAAGUUGAAGACAUGACCAACAUUAAAUUGAGGAAGACCUACUUGCUGAAUUCUCCAGUAAGAGUUAAUAAAAAACUUCUUUCAAAGCAGGUUUCCAUUCCCCUCCUACCACUGUUCCCCUCCUACCACUGUUAUUUUUGAUUAUUAUAUAUUUUUUUUAAACAAGCUUUUUUUCUUUCCAUUAGUAGUUGUUUAUAUGACCUUUUGAAUAAUGGUUUUUUUCCUCCUUAUCCAUUUUUUUCCAUUUGCUUCGUUUUUGUAUGUUUGUUGUUUAUAGUGAAGCUUAAUGACAUUUGUGAAAAAUAAAAAACACAUUUUCACUGUCAGUUUGUUUGUGUGGGUUGUAUUACAAAAUAACACAAUAAUUCUCUGAACCUUUUUUUUUUCCCCGCUAAAAGUUACAUUCUCAGGACAAGCUUCAGGGGUAUUACCUUUUCUAAGUUCACGGAAUUAUUCCUGUGAAGAAGGGAAUAUCUGAAAAGCUUGUCCAGGAAAUUUAACCACUGCAAAUAAAAUAAAUAUAAUAGACAGUACUUCCAAACACUUGUUUUUACUUACCCGAAGCCAUAAUCACACGAUCAUUCAGCACUGGGUCCUUCUCCUCUCUAUUUACUUACCGGAUGGGUCCUUUUUCCUGAUGUCCAAGUUGCGGUCUGAGUAAGUUGGAUAAUCCCCACAUUCAGGAUCCAGAAGACCGCUGAAGUCAGACCAAGAGGAGAAAAAUGAGACCAGAUGGUGAAGGUUAAUGUGCCGUGCUGGGUUCUGCAGAUGGAAAGGACAUCAGCAAGGAACCUUGAUGGGGGGGACUCAGGUGAGUAUAACUGACCUCACCAUGAUAGGUAAAGUGAACAGAUGGCAGGAUAUGUUAGAGAGGAGGGAGGAACAGGGAAAUUAUAGAUUUGGCCCUGAGUUGGGCUUUAGUUGAUUUAAUCUGCACACACUUGGAUAUCCAUAGUA